rnacentral:rRNA from 1 species
UACGAAGGGUGCUAGCGUUGUUCGGAAUUACUGGGCGUAAAGCGCGCGUAGGCGGCUUAACAAGUCAGGGGUGAAAGCCUGGAGCUCAACUCCAGAAUUGCCCUUGAAACUGUUAAGCUUGAGUGUCGGAGGGGAUAGCGGAAUUGCUAAUGUAGAGGUGAAAUUCGUAGAUAUUAGCAGGAACACCGGUGGCGAAGGCGGCUAUCUGGACGACAACUGACGCUGAGGCGCGAAAGCGUGGGGAUCAAACAGG